GAUGAAGAACGUAGCGAAAUGCGAUAAGUAAUGCGAAUUGCAGAUUUCAGUGAGUCAUCGAAUCUUUGAACGCACAUUGCGCCCGCCAGUAUUCUUGCGGGCAUGCCUGUUCGAGCGUCAUUUCAACCAUCAAGCCCCCGGGCUUGCGUUGGGGCCCUGCGGCUGCCGCAGGCCCCGAAAAGCAGUGGCGGGCUCGCUGUCACACCGAGCGCAGUAGCGAUUCUCGCUCCGGGCGUCGGCGGCGGGCACCGGCCGUGAAACCCCCCCACAUCCACAAGGUUGACCUCGGAUCAGGUAGGAAUACCCGCUGAACUUAAGCAUAUCAAUAAGCGGAGGA
rnacentral:misc_RNA from 1 species